UACAGAGGUCUCAAGCGUUGUUCGGAUUCAUUGGGCGUAAAGGGUGCGUAGGCGGCGUGGUAAGUCGGAUGUGAAAUCUCGGAGCUUAACUCCGAAACUGCAUUCGAUACUGCCGUGCUUGAGGACUGGAGAGGAGACUGGAAUUUACGGUGUAGCGGUGAAAUGCGUAGAUAUCGUGAGGAAGACCAGUGGCGAAGGCGGGUCUCUGGACAGUUCCUGACGCUGAGGCGCGAAGGCCAGGGGAGCAAACAGG
rnacentral:rRNA from 1 species